UUUAGCUCCAACAUGAGGAGAGACACAGCAACUGCUUCGAUUCUUUAUUUUAUUCUUCUCGCGGCCGUUUUGGGCUCUCCUGGGCGCAACAAGAAUCAGCAAGCGAGGAAAAAUUUCAGAUACCCGUUUUCUCCUUACGACAAGCGAUCGCCUGAUGGUAAAAUUUCUGGGCAUUACACUGCUGUGUCACCAAAACUGAAAUGGCCGAACGCGACUGUUUACUGGGCCUACGAUCCGGCCAACAAUUUCACUGAUACUGAAAAAGGAAUCAUUAAAAAAGAAAUUCAAAACACCACAUGUGUGAAAUUCGUGGCAAGAACGACAGAAACGGCGUACUAGAACAUUAAGAACAACGAGGCUGGUUGUUUUGCCAUCGGCGACUACCAGGGCACGAAGCAGGACCUUAAUUUGGAGAAAAAUUGCUUUCCCGAUUCAACCACGACGAUUCACGAAUUAAUGCACGCGAUGGGAUUCGACCAUGAGCAAAACAGAUACGAUCGCGACAUGUACGUUGAAGUUCAAUGGGACAACAUCGAGGCGGGCAGGGCAGGCGCUUUUGAAAAACUACCGCGAACCAAAGCCUACCCUCGCUACCCGUACGACUUUUUCAGCGUCAUGCAGUACUUUUUGACUGGGUUUGGAAUUGGAGGAAGACCGACUUUGGUUCUUGUGGAUCCACUGCCCUCCAAUAUAGCCAGCAAGAUAGGUCUUGUUCCAAAUAUGAGCAGAUCUGAUAUUUUACGAAUCCGCUCGGCGUACAAAUGCGACUCCAAUGGAGAGAGUUCUGGUCUCGGCCGCGCAUUCCUUGGCCAAGAAUCUAAUUUUGCAAAACACAAUUUCUUCUAGCGUUUGCGUUCAAGUCAAAUAAAUUCAGAUAUUCUC